UGCUACAAAAUAGGGAAUGCUUGGUAAGUAGCAUGGGAAGUUACAUGUGGCUUGCAAACAGCUCUAGCCAGGCAUUAAGGCAUUUUGAAAUUUGCAGGAGGCAGGUAAUUUUUUGAUAAAAACUUCUGACGCAAGACAUGGGCACCCAUUUUGUCUUGGAAAAAAAAGGAGUUUUCAGAAAGUGAGCAAGGCUUGCAUUGAAAACAAACCAGGCAAUGUGCUCGUGUUUGCUCUUCAUGAAAAAAUAUAGAUAGUAAUGUUAAGGAUGUUUGAAUGAUCUGAAGCUGAAUUUCCCUCUUCUUCAAGUUUUUGGAAGGCUGAACUGCCUGCCACAUUACAGACCCUGUGAGUCUAAAAUAGUCAUUGGGCUGAAAAAAAUCCAAGGUGAGAUUAGUCAGGGGACCAAUGCAAAUGUGAGUUAUUAACCCCUUCUGUCUUUCUGCUGUUGGGAUAAUUUGAGUUUCAGGGCAGGUAAGCUUGCCUUUUCAGUUAUAUUUUAUAGAUUUGUUGCAAAUAGUUAAUGAGCAGCCACAGUGACAUUGUAAAUGAUUCCUUCAGCUUGUGUUUUGGGUGCUAACCUAAGAAGGAGCAUUUUGGCUUUGAAUUCUUUUGGACAGAGGAAGAAAUUGAAGCCAAGACUCAUAAACAAGAAGGGCCAGUGGGUACCUAGUCCAGUUCCAGGCACUUAGACACCAGCAUGGUUUCCUGAGGAGUGCUCUCUCUAAACAUAAUAAAUUUUUGGAGCUUGAUGAGGGUAAAAGUUUGCUGCCCUUACAGCUAUUGAAGGGGUUGUGAUUCUGCUUUGUCCCUGGUGUCCACAGAACACUUCUGUGAGAUGAUUUGAAGUGUUAAUCUUGCAGUCAACUUUACUCCACCCCUGUUUUCCUCAACACAAUGAUCUGUUGGAGUGCUUCACCAUGCUUGUGAAAACUGCAAGUUUAUGAAUAGAACAAUGAACCUGGACCUAAACUGGACUUGAGCUUUGCUGCUGUUUUCUAAAUGAGUCCUGUAAAGUUGGGUCUUCUGGUUUGUUCAUUUCUCUAGGUUUGUUUGUUUGGGUUUUCUUAAUUGGUUUGUAGAAUGCCUUGGACGUCUUUUUAAAAGCUCUUCAGAGAUCUAAAUCAGCAUGGCUCAGUUGGAGGCCCUGCAUGGAGACAGAGCUCAGGUAAGCUAAACUGCAGCAAGAAGUUCAGCCUGAUCUGAUAGCUAUAAUUAGGGAUUUUGACUUUGUUGAAGAUUUAUGAUACGUGUGCCCAUCAGAAAAAGGGAUUACCUGCCCUCUUCAGCCAGUUAGCAGAUGAUGUGAUUUAAAUUUGAUUUGAGUCACUGCUCUAGAACUCGAAGGUAUUGUUUCCUGCUGUAAAUCUUCUGAGUAUUUCCCUCUUUUUUCAGUAGUAUUUAAAAACACUUGAAGCUUUUAUGAACCAGAAGAGCACUGUGUAUAUAUUUAGUGUGGUACUUUCAAUUAACUACAAUUAGUGAAGUCUUGACUUGUACUGGAGUACUGAUCUUUCUGUAAAUAAUUCAUUCUUUAUGAUUGCUGGGUUCUCUCUCAUCUGGAAAAAUUGCUGUUGUGUCAAACAAGUGUUGGAGAUGGAACAAGCAAAAACCCUAUUAAAAACCACCAGGGAUACUGAGCAGAGAUAUGCAACCUUCAGCCUAAUUGGAAAGUGUUGUGUGAUAUUAAGAAAUGCUGUGUGGUGCCUUCAGGUAGUUACAGAAAAUGAAAGCUCAGGUAAAACCGAAAUAGCCACUUACCUCACUUUCAUACACUGGUCUCCAGCAAGAGCAUUUUUGCAAAAGGUAAAGAGAAACAAAGUAGUGAAGGGGAGUGUUUGUAUAACUUUCCAGCUUCUUAGGUUUCUUUUCUGCAAGUUGAUAUGUGAUAGAAGAAAGAAUCAAAAGGGUAUGUAUUCAUGUCUUGCUUUUGUGGUCACUUUUGUUCUUGCUGUUUCACCUCUGAUGAUUCCUCUGUCAAUAUCCAGGGCCUGAUCCAAAGUCAGUGGAAAAGAUUUCUCUGGCAUUAUUGAUCCUCUAUUGAUAUUGAUACUAUUCUGUGUUCUUUUCCAUUUAUUACAGCUACUUGCCAUGUCAGCCUUGUCCCUGCUGCACUUCUUCAGGCAGGUUGCUUUGUUCCUUAGUGCUUUUUCAUGACCUUUUCCUGGGCACUGCCUCGUAGACAAUACCUUAGCACCAGUGUGUGUGCUCUGACAAAAGUGACAAAUCCUUAGGUGCACAUGUCUGACAUGAUCACUUGGGUUUCAAAAGUAGUAUAAUUACAUUUUGAGGAUAAGUUAUCUCAUCCUAGCAUGUAUGCAUUUAAAAGCAGUUGUUUCAUUCAUCCUUUGGUAAUGCUUUCUCCAUUCAGUUAAUAAAAUUCUAUGAUAUGAUGUACAGAUGCUGCAUUUAAUUCUUAAAGGCUCAAAGUUUGAGGGAAAAAAAAAAAGAAUCCACCCUGAUUUUGGUCUCUGGGGCACUGUUGGUGGAGCACACUGGGGGAGCUCAGGAGGGGCUGCUGCACUUCCUGCACUACACCCAAGGAAAAUGUUGACGAAUGCUGCUCUACUGCUUUGGCUUCCAAACAACCCGAAAUUUUUUACCUUGAUGAUGUUUAAAUGAACAACCUGUGUGGUCCUGCUUGUGUGUUCAGAGCUUGGCUCUCACUGUGCCAAUCUGUUACGCUUCCUGUCUGUUUUUUAUGGAAGAUGAACUCCUGUGAGCUGCAGCUUUCCCUGGUGCAAGGUAAGGGUGAGCUGGCACAGCUGUUGCCGUGUGCCUGGGGACACUUGGAGCUGCCGUGGUGUGAUCUCACAGCACAGAGCUCUCAGCAGCUUUCUCAGCUGUGCCAGCUCUUGUCACAUUGUUCAAGAAGGAGGUUUUUUGUCCCCUCUAAGCAGUGCUUGUAGAGGUGGCAUUUGUGCCUUGCAGCUCUCUCCUGGGCAGGUGAAAGGCUCUGGAGGAGCCUGAGAAUGCAUCUGCUGCCUUCAGCUAUUGCUGAGGUAGAGGUCAAGCUAAAUCAGGACAUUGGGAUUAUUUUUCAACUUUCCGUCGGGUGAAAUUGGGAAAAAGAAGGAGAAUUUGGUAACCCUUCUAGAGGUUUAAAUGAGAUUUUGUAUUUUCACCAAUAUAUUACAAUAAAAGCAUGUCAUACUGGGGAGAGGCAUGGGGUUCAUAUAAGCACCUGUAAAUAAGCUUCCUGUCACCUCUUCUGCUUUUCAAGUGCUAUUUCCUUUUAAGUCCUCUUUGAGUUCAGCUGGUGAAUAUAACAGGGUUAUGUUAUUAGUAGUUGUUUCUUACUUAGGCCUAGUUUGAGGAUGAGUGCUGCUUUACUUCUGAUUCCAGGAACCUGUUACAUGUCCCCAAUUGCUUAAACUAUUCAAAAAUUAAAGACUUUACGUUUCCCAACAACCAUGGUCUCUUGUGUUAUUAAUGAAUAUUAAUUAAUCAUUAAGGAAUUUCCCCCCCUCAUUUUCAAUUUCUCUUCCAGAUUAAUCCAGGCAAGGAAGUGACAGAGCUGCCAGUCAGGGGAGGUGUUUCUCUGCAUAGGAAACAAACUUUAGAGCAAAAAGACACCAGCCUGCAUGCAGAGGGAAAUAUCUCCUUACCUCCUUGGCUGGGAGGGAUCCUGACAAUAGAUGUUCUGGCAGCAAGGCCUGGGAUGUUUGGGAAGGAGUCACCUAUGGAAAGCAUGCACUGUGGAGAAGGCAGCAGCCAGGAUCAAGCAAUUUGUUUUCUCCAACCUAAAAAUAGAAGAGCAACAACAGUGGCUGAAAACAGGAUGUCCUGUCCCUCACUGGGGACAAAAUCAAAACUCCUCACUGGAGUCAAAAUCAGUGUCAUUCACUCCAAAUGGAUGCAGUAAUGUGGAUUGAGUUGACUUUUGAACACAAAGGGUCGUGGGGCACAGGAAUGGGGAGGAGAGUUGUACUGACAUUUAAUCUAAAGCCCAUGGCACCUGAUGCUGUUUUGGUUGCAUGCAUUUGCUCCACAGUUCCAUGUGCCUGCUGUGGCCAAUUCUGUGUCCAGCUUCUUUUGGAGAUUGCUGGGUGUAUCCCAGCAUUACCUUGUGUCCUGCUGAUUACUGCAGUACUUCUGGUGGUCCUCAGCAAGAGCCUGAGUUGCUGUGCAAGUUCAUAAUGUGGGAGAAGAUAGAUUGAUUUAUUCUGAGGGAUCCACAGGAGAAGUAUGUUUAUUGCUCUGUAAUUUUCUCUAGGGAAGUUGCUAAAAGUUCAAAUACUUUUAAAAAGCUGAUCUACUUCUUGUUGUGCUUAACUUGGAUAAAAAUGUGAAAACAUUUGGUUUUCCUAAUCUUGAUGAAAAAAAGUUUGCAUGAAGAAUUUCCCAACAGCCAUCCACCGCUCCCAUCAUGAACAGUCUGCACUGACCUGUUGGCUCCUGCUUUCUAGUCAGUUUUAAAUCCUACUUGUAGUGUUAGGAUCCUGUCAUUACACUUGAUAAUUUAAAAAAAUUCCAAGCUUUUGGCCAGUUCAUUGCAUGAAGUUUUAACUGAUGGAAAUUUAUUAUUCCUCGCCUAACAUUUGUAUAAGCAAAUGGAAUUGCACCACUGCAGUUAGCCUACAAGAUGAAAAGUCAUAGAUACUGAGCAGCAAUUUCCUUCAUUACUCUGAAUUUUGUGUAAGUAAAGUGCUUCUGGUAUAUUGCCAACCAUUUUUUUUUCCCAAGGUCAUUUCUAUUUAGUGUAUCAUAGUGCUUAAUUCUGCUAUAGCUGUGCCUGAGUUGAAUUAGGAAUCCCUAUGUGCUGUAACAAUUUCUUUUGAAAAGAUACCUUAGUAAUACUUCUCAGGAGAGUGAAAUGUCCAGGUAUUAAUAGGUACACUUUUUCAGGGAUUUUGAAGAUGGUAAAAAAAAGCUGUCACUACACCUCGGUGAUCUUUGCUGACAUUUAACUGGGACACUUGAUGGAAGUGUGGAGGCAGCCCCAAGUCCUGGGCUUGGUUUGCUGUCUCCAUUACAGAAGUGAAUGGGAAUCAGAAGAGCAGAGCUUUCAGGAGAUGUCAGUAAUUGAGAAACUGAUGGACAGAUGUUGCCAUUUUUAUAUGCCUUUAUACAGUCAAAAUAUGUUGCUCAUGAGUCCUAGCAGGAUCCCCAGCUCUCAGUAAUGAUUCCACUUGUUGCUGUCCAGUGCUCCCUGUCCCAUUAGAGAUCAAAUGCAGAAUAUAAUGUUCAGUAGUGAUUUCAACUGACUCUGGGAGGGCUGUUUGGUCCUCCUCUUGUCAUUUUGUUACCUUCAGAAGAGCAUGGUUUAGGAUCAGUGUAGGGAGAGGAGGAUUCAGUAUCUGAGGGGAUCUUGCAGGUUGUCUGGGACAGAGAGGUCUCAGCUCUUCUCUGGUGCCUGUGUAGAAUCCUGAACCUGGCAGGUGUUGAUUAGCAGCUUCUGGCCAGUGCAAUCAGGAAGAGCUGGAACACAACCCAGUGUUUGAUGCAUUUAGGUCAUAUAUAAUAACACUCUAUGUAUAGAAAUGUUACAGAGCACAUAGCCCACUGCACCUUUUCCCAGCCACAGGAGUGACUGCACAGCUGUUUUCUUCUAUAACUUACAUUUGUGCCUUUGGUUAGAACACACUGAGUAAAAAAAACUUUCAGCAAAUGGUUAGAGAUAGCAGGGUGGUGAGUGGUGCUUUUUUUUCAGAAAACUGUUUUUAGAAAAAUUCAACAUUCCAAGGCCAAGACAUUUUGCAGUGAGCAGCACCAAAUAAGCCGGGAGAAAUAGCUCAGUACAUCUGUAGAAUAACAUGUUUUAGUUCUGCCUGCAUGUACCAGCCAUCAGCUCUUAUUUACACCUGUCCUGGAGUCUGUCAGUUUGCCACAGACAGAACACGCUGUCCCCUGUGUUGAACAGUCUCUGUUGUCAUAUGCUUACAGUCACCUUGUGCUACUUGUCACCCCACAAACCUCACUCACCUAACACCUCAUCAGCAUCCAGAUCACAGACCAAGGGACCUUCUGUCCCAAGAAAAUCUCCAUUACCACCAGAAUUGUGCUGCCCUUUCUAGAAUCCCCUCUGGCUUUCAAUAAAACCACGUAACUUUGGGAAAGCUGCUGAGUGGCAGGAGUUUUCUCUUUGCUUUGCUGGGCUGUGCAGGGAAGGAGGGGGAGGAAAAAGAAACAACAGUGAGUGUGAAUUUGUGUAAGAUAGUUUAUAAUUUCUUGAUUUUUAAUAAUUUUGACUCUUUCAUGGUUAUGUACUCAGGAAGGACACCUGAAUGUAGCAUCCCUGAAUGAUUUGGGUUGGCACUUUUAAAGGUCAUUUAGUCCAAGCCACCUGCAAUGGGUAGGAACAUCUUCCAUAGAUGAAUUUCCUCUUCUGGGGUACUUGACUUGACAGCCUCCUGUGUGGAUUUGAUGCAGUAAAAGGAGACUAUACUGAAUAAUCAGAACCAGCCCAGUCCAGAAGACCCUGUGAGUAAAGCAGAGACAUUUCAUGAAAAUUUUCUCAUGUAUUUGAAUGUCUUACAACAGCCAUAUUUUUUUCAAAAUAAUUUUGCUAUUUUUUGCCUACUUCUUUUCUCCUCUAGAAUUGUCCUAAAUGACAAUUGUAAUGGGUUUAAAUUCAUAAUAGAAAUACUCCAUGUAGUAGUGUUUUUUCCUCACUGCAACACAGUGGUUUACCCAGUUGCCCAGACGCUCAUUGGUAGAUCUCUGUGACUGUGUAAAUUAAAAUAAACUAUCAGCCAGCCCUAGUUUGUUAACUAUGGAAAGGGAAUUAAAGUACUAAUUGGAAAUGGAGUGCAUAAAUUUGACUGGCAUGAGUAGGAAAUGCCUGAAGAAGCUGACAAUCUGUCUCCAUGAUGUGGCUCCUCAGAAAUUCUAAUUAGAGAUAGCAAUUGGGUUCUUUGAUUUUUUUUUUCCAUGUGUACUCUAAGCAACAUGAAACCAAUUAACUUCCUCAUUCCAUUGAAACAUUACUUUAUGUACAGAAUAUAGUGAUAGAAGACAUCUCCAUUUGAAUUCUUGCCUUUUGGCCUUUAACAGAAAAUCAGAUAGUUGCAAUUUAUUGGACAAUUACAGAUGAUAUAGGAACGCAAUUUUUUAUCUUUUUUCUACCAGAUAGGAAAGCCUAGACCUUUCUACUUCUAGAAACUAUUUUUUUUUUGCACAGAGAUUGUGAUUUCUCAGCAAUUUUCUAAAACCUGAUAAGGAUGCAUAUUAAUUAAGUUUAGAUGAAGGAAACUUCUUUGCAGUUAAUCUCUGGCUGUUGUUCUGUACUCUCCUUGGCUGGGAGUAGGUAUUUAACCAGGAUUUUGUUUGGAAGCAAGGCUGGAGUGUGAGCACUCUGCAUGUUCACCAACAGGAUGAGCUAUUAACUAAAAAUAAGUGUAUUGAUCCAGCUUGGGAUGAUUAAUAAAUUCAGCUUUUUCUGUUCCAACUCUCUUCUGUUUAAAUAGGACUUAUUUCUGAGGGAAAGUUGUAUAAAGCUAAAAAUGAAAGUUUUAUGGUGAUUCUAAUUACAUUGCUCUAGUAAAGAGAAAUACUGAAUUGAGGCUGAUGGGGGGUGGGGAGGAGGCAGGAGCAGAUCUGUCUCAAGACAUUUACUCCAAGCCUUACUUCCAUUUACUUUCAUUAUCAGUCCUUCAUUCAAGGCUCAUAAGAGAAGAAGAACAACCAUGAUGACUUCUGUGAAACAGUGCCUGUUUGGGGAAACUCAACAAAGGGUGAAAACUGGCAGAGACUGGAACACCUGGCACUGUCUAAAUGUGGAUUUGUGGUGUUAAGAGACCCCCAGUCACUCCCCAUCAUGGUGUUGUCCGUGCUCCAUGGUGCAGAAGGAGGAGGAAGCUUCCUGCUGCCGUUGUUGGACCCUUCCCAGUUGUUAUCACAGCUCUGUCCAGCUCUGACAUAUAUCCAAACCCAGCUCUCUGUUCAGACAUCACCCCCAGACAGAUGCAGCUGCCUGAGAAACCAGUUUCUCUGUUGCUCAGUAAGGCAGUGCAGGGCAGCUGUACUUUAUUUUCUGCAGAAGCUGUGCUGAGGUCCUUGGCAGUGAAUUAAAGCCCAUCCUGAGCUUUCAGCAUUUGCAGCAGCGUGCUCCAACCUUUGCAAGUGCUGGGUGUGGGGAGUGUGGCCCCAUCCCUGUGAUCUCCAGGGCUGUGACCUUCUUUGCCCUCUGGAAAAUCAAUUGUUUGAUUUUUCACCUCCUCUGCCCCUCCAGCAGCCACUGCAGCCCCUCUGUGGCACCAACUUCCUACCUGGGGACAGGGAGAAGAAAGGGGGAAGGUGGGAUGGCUGCUGCUGCCCCACACGCAGUGCAGGGGUGUUACUGCUGGGCAAAUGGGUGCUGUAGAACCACCAGAGACACUAACUCAGGUGCUGCCAGGUGUAUUUCAAGCACCUGAAGUGGUUUCAAGGGAAUGGAGCAAUUUCUAUUCUCCCAUCUCCUCCUGGUGAACCUGCAGAGCAAAAUCAGCUGCAUUACAAAGAUUGGCAAAACAAUAUUGAAAGCUGUGGUUCUUAUAUUUUGUUUUUAUUUUAAGAUUCUGAGGGAGUUGCAAGAAGAGGCAAAAACUUUUCUAAAGCCAGGUUGGAUUUAACAUUAAGGAAAAUUAAAGUCUUGGGAAACUG